rnacentral:lncRNA from 1 species
CAGGGAGUGCAAGAGAGGCACAGUGCCGCCAGCUGCUUGCUACGGUGCCCUCUCUGCUCCUAAGGGGCUAGUGGAUACCCCGUGUGUGGGCAGGCUAGCUUCACUUCUUAGUUCAGAAAACUGUCUGCAGAACCAGGUGCCCAAGGCCUACCUGACAGCCGGCAGUGGUCAGUUCCACUGCCUCCCCACCCACCCAUGAAGCCCGAGCUUCUGCCACUCACCCUAAUUCACAAGCUACCGCGCUUACCAACAUUCAUGAAGGACUAUGCCGUGUGGACGCUGAAGCCAGCUGGGACUCUCCUCCCUUUGGAACUUGGCCUUGCUUCGUCUCCCCGCCCUCUCCAGGAGCCCUGUUAAAAUGUGCAACGAGCGCUCGUCUUGUUUGUAAAUCGUGCUGGCAAGCCCCGUUUUAACCAACUACGAAUUUCAUUUCGGAAUAAAAAAGGAGACGCACUUUCGGACGGGGCAGCGGUUGCCGCCGGUCCUUCCUCUGAGCUACCGGUCCCUAGAAGGAAGACCUGCCUUCGACCGAUCUGGAAAUGAGUCCCAGCUGCAAGCCCAGGGCGGCGGAAGCCCCAUGGGCCGAGCAGAAGAAAGACGAGGCGGGGGACGGGGAGCGUAGUGCCGCGUGCCGGGACCCACAACCCCUUUCCCCUGCGCGCUCUUCCCCGAGCGGACGGGAAAAAGCUCUCCUUUGCCGCUGCCCAUCCCCCAGGGCCCAAGCGAUGCUUCCUAACCGCGUGCACGCAGCUUGAUGGGGGAGAAAGAGCUCUGGGAGCAGGGCUUAGAGCCUCGUCUCGCCUCCUGCCAACUCGGUCCGGCAAGGUUCCGAACCUCCCUGAGCCUCAGCUUCCUCAUCUGGCAAACAUGAUGACAAAAGUCCUUCUCUUUUAAGGUUGGUGCGAAAAUUAAAUGGCCCUUUACUGUAUAUUUAGAGCACCUGGCUCACGAGAUGUAGUUCUUGUUAACGUUGCCCAGGCUGGAGCGCAGUGGCUACUCACAGGCAUGAUCAUACCGCACUAUAGCCUGGAACUCCUGGGCUCAAGCAGUCCUCCUGCCUCCGCCUCACAGGUGUGUACCACCAUAUUUGUAGUUUUACUUCUCCUGUGAGACUUUAACUUCUCAAGUAUGCCCACAGCCGAGCUGCAUCUGUGAACAUGAAUGCUACUUCUACAGAAACAGAGUGGAAUCUCUGAAAUACCUUUGAGACCCUUUCGUGUCAGGUGGGUGGGCCACAGCCCGAUCAUGGAAUAAAAGU